AUGCUGGCCCCGACGCCGUAUCAAGUGCCGGCGAAGGAGGACAAAGAGGAGAGCAAAAAGUCUAGGUUUGACUCCUACUCUAAAGGCACACCGCACGCUAUGUCCGGGAAGACUGUAACUCCCACUUCUGAAGACGAAGGGGAAGAAGAAGCUGAUAUCCCUUCUCCCCAUGGGAAGGAAAGGACUGCCUCCGAAGAUUUGAAGGUGGAGGCUUCCAAGAGAGGGAAAAUGUCCCUGUCAGAUGGUUCGGGCUCGGAAGACAACGUAGCCGCACAGUUCCCCCAUAAGGAUAAGCCUUUCGUCGAAUCGUAA
rnacentral:rRNA from 1 species